AAGUACCACUGCAACUUCGACCUGUACCAGUCGCCGGUGGCCAACUGGCGCGACACGCUCUACCUCCGCAUGGCCCCCGACCAGCCCGACGCCGGCGACCUGCCGGACAGCUGCCGCGAUGCUCUGUUUGAAUACGCCGAACAAGUGAAGAAUUUGGGGAGCACUUUAUUCGAGCUGCUCUCAGAAGCUCUUGGGCUCAAACCGAGCUACUUAACUGAUAUAGAGUGCAACCAAGGACAGAUCAUACUCUGCCAUUAUUAUCCUCCGUGCCCACAGCCUGAACUCGCCAUCGGGACAAGCCGGCAUUCAGACUCUGGCUUCCUCACCAUACUUCUCCAAGACGAAAUCGGUGGCCUCCAGAUCCUCCACGAGGACCAGUGGGUAGACGUCACGCCAACACCUGGAGCAUUCAUCGUGAACAUCGGCGAUCUCUUACAGCUGAUCUCCAACGACGGGUUCAGGAGCGUGGAGCAUAGGGUGGUGGCGAAGAACGCCACGCCAAGGGUCUCAAUCGCGUGCUUCUUCAGCACGCAUUUCCACCCUGCCUCUACGAGAAUGUAUGGUCCGAUCAAGGAGCUGCUGUCCGAUGAGAAUCCACCGUUGUACAGGGAGACCCUCGUCAGAGAUUACAUCAAACAUUACUACUCCAUCGGGUUAGAUGCGAAAACUGCUAUCUCUGAUUUCCGGUUGUGA
rnacentral:rRNA from 1 species